GGAGUGCCAGUUCACCCUCGACGGGUGUUUCGUGGAGUUGCUGCAGAAACGUCUGCAGGAAGAGGAAUAAAGCGAUUAUGUUACGGAGCGUCCGUUCACCUGUGGCGCGUGCUUAUGGAGUGACUGCAGGAACGGCUGCAGGUCUAAGAAGAAAACCGUGCUGCUAUUGGUCACACCAGCCACCUCCGCGCCCACCACGGAGGCUGCGCACUUCACACCCCGCAGCGCUUCAGAGCCGCCGCGUCAGACGCUGCGU